rnacentral:rRNA from 1 species
GAGUUUGAUCAUGGCUCAGGACGAACGCUGGCGGCGUGCUUAACACAUGCAAGUCGAACGAUGAAGCCUAGCUUGCUGGGUGGAAGAGUGGCGAACGGGUGAGUAACACGUGAGUAACCUGCCCUUGUCUCUGGGAUAAGCACUGGAAACGGUGUCUAAUACUGGAUAUGACCUGUCACCGCAUGGUGGUGGGUGGAAAGAUUUAUCGGACAUGGAUGGACUCGCGGCCUAUCAGCUUGAUGGUGAGGUAAUGGCUCACCAUGGCGACGACGGGUAGCCGGCCUGAGAGGGUGACCGGCCACACUGGGACUGAGACACGGCCCAGACUCCUACGGGAGGCAGCAGUGGGGAAUAUUGCACAAUGGGCGAAAGCCUGAUGCAGCAACGCCGCGUGAGGGAUGACGGCCUUCGGGUUGUAAACCUCUUUUAGUAGGGAAGAAGCGAAAGUGACGGUACCUGCAGAAAAAGCACCGGCUAACUACGUGCCAGCAGCCGCGGUAAU